rnacentral:misc_RNA from 1 species
UUGUGGACGGCGCCGCCGGGGUUUGGAGCUCGACGGCUCUGGUUGGCUUUCACGGCUCUCUCGGCUUUCUCUGUUUGCCGCACCAUCUGGUCCAAUUUCAAGGGUAAGAAUGGAAAAUCAGCGGCGACGGCAGCAACUUCCGCAUCGACGCUGCCGGCCUUGGCGAGAAAUUCGGGUGAGGGUGGCAGUGAUUCUAUUAGCUCCCAUAGUGAACCUCAGGCAGGAGAGGGGGAGAGGAAAUUGUCACAGAGAAUGAUUUAGAACACCUGUUGCAUCUUCUUGAGGGUAAGGAUGGACAAAUGGAAUGGCAAUCUAUGAUGGAAAGGUCUACCUCGAACAUGGCAUAUCAAGCUUGGUGCCUUGAGCAUCAGACAGGUCCUACUAUAUUUCGUAGUAAAACUAUCUUUGAGGAUGCAACUGCAGAACUGGUUAGAGAUUUCUUCUGGGAUGAUGAGUUUCGACUUAAAUG